UAAACUUAUCAAGUUUAAUCUUAAAACCAGAUAGAUCUUUUGCCCCCACUGCUUCCCUUGGAAGGCUAUUCCAAAACUUCACUCCUCUGAUGGUUAGAAACCUUCGUCUACUUGCCCCAGGGUCUACAAUUUAGCUACCUAGGGAACUUUUACAGUGGAAAGGUAGGCACCAAGUGAAUUUAGGUGCUUACAGGGUUAGGUGACAGCCAAGCAGGAGUUUUAUGGAUCUCAGUGAUGCAUAUGGGGACUUAGGCACCUAACUCUGGAGUUUAGGUAUUUAAGUCGCUUUGUGGAUCACAUCAAAAGCUUGUUGAAUUAUCAGUAAGGAAACAACCAUUUAAGAGGGAAUGGGAGUUUUGACUACUUAUUCAAACCAUUUUUUAACAACAGAUGAUCAGCUGGAGGGAGAUAUGGUAGAUGGGUCUUUAAUCUUUCUAGUAUGGCUGAGCAGACAUAGAAUGCAAACCACCCUGCUUAUCUAGUCUGCCUGGCCUAAUGAAAUGCUAGGGGCACUUACUACAUUAACUGUCAACAUUAUUUACUAUUUAUAGCUUUACCACUCUAAGUGCCAUCAGAGAAUGUUCUUGAUGAGAAGAAAUAGGAGACAGUCUGCUCCAGCUUCCCUCCACAAUAUGAGACUUGAGCUGCAGAGAAGAUGGGGACUUUGGUUGUGGGUGCUAACAGAAAACUCUGGAUCCAUGACUUUUGGUGACUCCUAAGAAGCUUGUACACUGCCAUCCUGUGUUGGAGGCAAGUACUCCUUACUGGAAAUACACAGACGUGAACAUGUUUCCUUCAUGGCAUCUAGUAUGUUGUAUUUUUCUCCACCUGAGUUAACUGAUGUUUCCUUUCAGCUGCAACUGACAUUUUUAGUUCUCCUCCAGAGACAGGAUUUGUUUGCAAGUCUAUAAUAUUAAAUCACAAAAUACUACAUUGUGUGUCAAUUAAGACUGGUCUAUACACAACAUACCUAACACAAAAGCAAUAGUUAAGACAUCGUACCCUCUAUUCCAUUUAGAGAGAGAGACACCUCACCAUUGGAGCAAUCGUCAUACACCCUUAACUUUGCCCUAGUAUGGAUGCUAGUCUUCCAGCAACCACUCCUCCAAGCUUUCAUACCCACCACAGAGACAAGACUAAGGCCUGGUCUACACCUAAAACUUUGGUCGUCCUAGCUACGUUGCUCAGAGUGUGAAAAAUUCGCAUCCCUGAAAGACAUAGUUAAGCCAAACUAAGCCCCAGUGUAGCUACCACUAGGUCAAUGAAAGAAUUCUGUCUCUGAGGAGGGUGGGUGGAUGUACUACAGCUACAACAAAACCCCUUCCAUCACUGUAGCAAGUGUCUAUACUACAGCAGUGGAGCUGCAGCUGUGCCACUGUAGUGCUUGUAAUGUAGACAUACUCUAUGGCAGUGGUUUUCAACCUGUGGUCUGCAGACCCCUGGGCAUCCGCAGGCUAUGUCUCAGGGAUCCGUGAAAGGUGACUAUGAAAAUAAAGUUUCAGAUCCCAGAAAAGGCAUUCCAUUUUUCUGAUCAAUCAAAAGUAUGUGACUACCUCCACCUACAGGUCAAAACCUGGAAGAAGUGUUGUUACCAUAGAAGGCCACAGUUUUGCACCCUUUCUCAUCCUGCAUCAAAUGCAGGACCUGAAUAGUGAUGGAUUUAUCAGGGAUCUUCCCUAGGGCCUGUGGUUCGAAACCACCUGCUUAAUAGGCUCCUAACUAAAGACUCACCACAAGAAUCUGGAUAACCUGAUAAUCUGCUGCAAAAUAUGAUGUCGGAUAAACAACUGGAGAUCAUUGACGAUGUCAGACUGCAGUUUAUCAGUAUCUGAUCUUCUGAUAUUGGCCAAAGUUUCGGCAGGCCCACUAUGGCCUGAACUUGAAUAAAUUCCCUCACCCCCCUACAGAUCUCUGCGCUAUCCUAAGAGCAGUGAUAGUCAAGGUUCUGAAGUGUCUGAGGCAUCUGUUUGGGGUCCUUGUUGGCUCCCAGUACCAAGUCUUGAAAUCUAUUCACCUGUAAUUGAGACAAAUGUUGGCUAUGUCACCUUUAAUCCCAGGGAUGUGUUUAGUGGUAAAACAGCUGUUACAGGUUUAAACAUUACAGGAUAAAUACUCUCACCAGCCCCAACAUGCUUAGUGAUUUGAAUAACUAGCUGUUAAUAACAUGCACUACCGCCAGGUUUUCACUCCAGAAUCUCACUCUUUUGUUUGCAGACUGCACCCCGUAAUUUUGUCACUGCAGCUAAAAUGAGAGGAAGUUCCAUGAAAGUCAUGUCCUCAACUACUCCCCUUUGUAUCGAAUCAGUGGGCCAUCUCUGAGCAUGCCAUGUGCUUUGAUAGAAAAGUUUUAUCCAGAUGCCCCUGGAUUGAACUUUUAGGUCUACCUUUGCUAUCGACCAAGUCUAUCCAUGCCAUCUUUAAGAUCAAUUAUAUUGAAAGCCACCAGGGCUAUAAAUACCAUCCUGGUUACUAUUAAAAAGAGGUGGUUAAAUUCCAGAAUUAUAGCUUACAAAAAACCAGACUGUAAGUUCACAUCACUCUGACUCCUAUCUUAUCCACCUCCCCUCUCCUCCACCUUGAGUCCUAUCUUAUUUUACAGCUGCUUUGACAAGAACUGCUAGAGUUAGAAUCAGUACUUACACUUCGGAAAGUUUGGAAUUCUACCUUUCAAAUAGCUAGAAAAUCAUUAAUUUCUACUUUUAGUGGUUCCUGAGAUACUGCUACUUAACCAUGCCAGGGUUGUAUGAUGACACAGUCUCACUGGGUAGAGAUGAUGAAGAAGCUAUUAAUGGCAGGGUGAACUUGAACAAAGGAGAGUGCAUUUCUUCAAAACUGUUGUUGAAUUAAGUGAUGCAGAAUACAAUAUGCUGUUCAUAUUCAAUGGACACAUGCUGAAUGCAGCAAUACUAUUGUCCUCAAUUAUCCUGUAAUACUUCUCUUUAAAAUAUUGCAUCCUUCUGGUAUGAAUUCCAUAGUAAAAAGAGUAUUUUAUUUUCUUUCAAAAUGAUUCAAAUACUUAAAAGAACAUGCAUCAUUAGAUAGGUUAAUAAGUUAGAUGUCUUGACUGACUACUUGUUCUGCACUACUUGGAUAUGCACAGAAUGUCAAUUUAAUAUCCCUUCCAGAGUAUAUAAUCAUCUCCUUAAAACUUCUGCUUCUAAAAUGAAAAGAUGAAGUUUUUCUUGUAGCAUUCUAGUUUUGUAUGUAAUGAAAUUAGUGCUAUGGUAUAAAUAAUGCAAGCUGCUUCUCUGAAGAAUCCCAUCAUAAAGACUGCAUUUAGUAUGUGCUAAUUCAAGUUUUAAUGUAAUGUUGCCAUAAAGUUUGUUGAGUUCCUUAUGGAAACAUUACAUUACCCUUCCUUAGUUUUAGGCAUAGAAAAAACAAAUUUUUCAACUGAUGAAAGAAAUGCUAGUGUCUGAAAGUGUGCGUGAUUUGCUUUUUUUAAACACGUGGUUCUUUUCCUCUCUUUUCUUUUCUCCACCACAGCCCUCAUUUACGUUUGUAGGGAGCUGAGUCCUCACUACUACAAUGGAUUUCUUCAUUGCAAUUCUUAUCAAGAGUAGCCAUUGAUAGUUGUACUGAUUUCAAACUGCAAUGCCAAUAUUCCUUCCUUCAGUCUUUAUUGUUGAUAUGUUACAAAAUACAUGAAAGAGUAAUUCUUUAAAUGACAGAGUAAUUAACUUUUAGUAAAUCUUUAAAAGGUGGAAACACUUUAUGCAUAAAAAUAACAUGUGAACCA